rnacentral:lncRNA from 1 species
AAAAGCUCCUAGGAUUUCAAGUAUUCAACGCGCUAUCCCUACAUAAGUGGAUUUGAAAAAACGUUUCAACUUUGCAAAAUAACCCCUGCGUAUUUAGAAUUCCGUCUGCGCUCCUUUCUUCGUUCUAUCCAGGGCAAAGAAGGUGGAAGAGGGGCAACUUCGGCUGGGCGGCCGGACUCGCGAUUGUUGUCCCACAUCGCUCCUUUCAACUGAUUCAUAUCAAUUUAUGUACAAAUGAAGAUUAUCUGUAAUAUCAAUCAGCCUCCUCAAAAAAAACAAUAGGAGCAAAUAUGGAUCUCGGGCGAGGGAAUGAGGAGGGAUCCAGCAGCAGCGCACCGGCGCUCUGGAUCUGGUCUGGAACGGGGCGGCGGAGGGGUUGUCAUGCAGUAGAGGACAUGCCCGACGGUGGCGCUCCGGUAACCUGGGAGCAGAGAAGGCCAGACGAGGCAGCGACUUGCUGUCACUGGAGCAGGCGAGGCGUCGUCAUGGCGCGUUAUGAAGGUGACCAGCCGGAGGUGGAGCGCGAGAGGCGGCGGCGCUCCGGCAGCCUGGGAGCAAAGAAGGCCGGACGAGAGGCAGCGACUUCCUAGCGCCGGAGGAGGCGAGGCGUCGCCAUGGCGCGGUAUGACGGCGACCUGCCGGAGGUGGAGCGAGAGAGGCGGCGGCGCUCCGGCAGCCUGGGAGCAGAGAAGGCCGGAGGAGGUGAGGCGUCGCCAUGGCGCGGUAUGAAGGCGACCCGCCGGAGGUGGAGCGAGAGAGAUUAGGCGGCGCGUUGGAUGCGGGUCUGCAGAUGGUGCAUGGAGGGGGGAUCCCGCAAGUGUGUGCAGCUUUGGGUGAGGAGUGGGCAGGGCCGUGGGGAUCCCGUCGGUGGCAGGCAACAAGAUAAGGCUAUGAGGAAUUAUGAGUCCGCUGGAGAAGCACAAUGAGGUGUGUCGCUUCUUCU